AUUCUUAUUCUUGGACCGGACCGGCCGCCGAUCCAGUUCCUUUUUCCUGCAAGAGCCCUAGGGCUACUUGCGAACUAACCGCGGAGAACCCUAGAGGAGAUCGGCGAAGUAAUCUAACUUGCAGAAAUGAGGGCGAAGUGGAAGAAGAAGCGCAUGAGGCGGCUGAAGAGGAAACGUCGAAAGAUGAGGCAGAGAUCGAAGUAGUAGUAUUACAUGAUGUGUCUGUCUGCCAUAUGUGGAUGGUAUUAGUAUAACCACUAUGUUGUUGAAUCUUUAUCUUUCUGUCAAACAGUUAGCUUGAUGUUGGAGACCUUUCUUGCUGUGUUCUUUUUCUGGUUUUAAUUUUAUUGAUUUUGUUAACUAUA